AGGGGUCUUAGCCUCUACCCAG
rnacentral:miRNA from 1 species